rnacentral:rRNA from 1 species
AUUGAACGCUGGCGGCAUGCCUUACACAUGCAAGUCGAACGGAUGAAGGGAGCUUGCUCUCUGAUUUAGCGGCGGACGGGUGAGUAAUGCCUAGGAAUCUGCCUGAUAGUGGGGGAUAACGUUCCGAAAGGAACGCUAAUACCGCAUACGUCCUACGGGAGAAAGCAGGGGACCUUCGGGCCUUGCGCUAUCAGAUGAGCCUAGGUCGGAUUAGCUAGUUGGUGAGGUAAUGGCUCACCAAGGCGACGAUCCGUAACUGGUCUGAGAGGAUGAUCAGUCACACUGGAACUGAGACACGGUCCAGACUCCUGCGGGAGGCAGCAGUGGGGAAUAUUGGACAAUGGGCGAAAGCCUGAUCCAGCCAUGCCGCGUGUGUGAAUAAGGUCUUCGGAUUGUAAAGCACUUUAAGUUGGGAGGAAGGAUUGUAGAUUAAUACUCUGCAAUUUUGACGUUACCAACAGAAUAAGCACCGGCUAACUUCGUGCCAGCCGCCGCAGUAAGAC